rnacentral:rRNA from 1 species
UACAGAGGGUGCAAGCGUUGUUCGGAAUUAUUGGGCGUAAAGGGAGUGUAGGCGGCUGGGAAAGUCUUCUGUGAAAUCUACGGGCUUAGCCUGUAAAGUGCAGAGGAAACUUCCCGGCUUGAGUGUCGGAGAGGAUAGUGGAAUUCCCGGUGUAGAGGUGAAAUUCGUAGAGAUCGGGAGGAACACCAGUGGCGAAGGCGACUAUCUGGCUGACAACUGACGCUGAGACUCGAAAGCAUGGGGAGCAAACAGG